rnacentral:rRNA from 1 species
AAAUUGAAGAGUUUGAUCAUGGCUCAGAUUGAACGCUGGCGGCAGGCCUAACACAUGCAAGUCGAACGGUAACAGGAAGCAGCUUGCUGCUUUGCUGACGAGUGGCGGACGGGUGAGUAAUGUCUGGGAAACUGCCUGAUGGAGGGGGAUAACUACUGGAAACGGUGGCUAAUACCGCAUAACGUCGCAAGACCAAAGAGGGGGACCUUCGGGCCUCUUGCCAUCRGAUGUGCCCAGAUGGGAUUAGCUGGUUGGUGAGGUAACGGCUCACCAAGGCGACGAUCCCUAGCUGGUCUGAGAGGAUGACCAGCCACACUGGAACUGAGACACGGUCCAGACUCCUACGGGAGGCAGCAGUGGGGAAUAUUGCACAAUGGGCGCAAGCCUGAUGCAGCCAUGCCGCGUGUAUGAAGAAGGCCUUCGGGUUGUAAAGUACUUUCAGCGGGGAGGAAGGUGUUGUGGUUAAUAACCACAGCAAUUGACGUUACCCGCAGAAGAAGCACCGGCUAACUCCGUGCCAGCAGCCGCGG